UACAGGGGGGGCAAGCGUUGUCCGGAUUUACUGGGCGUAAAGAGCGUGUAGGCGGCCAAGCAGGUCCGUUGUGAAAACUGGAGGCUUAACCUCCAGACGUCGACGGAAACCGCGUGGCUAGAGUCCGGAAGAGGAGAGUGGAAUUCCUGGUGUAGCGGUGAAAUGCGCAGAUAUCAGGAAGAACACCAAUGGCGAAGGCAGCUCUCUGGGACGGUACUGACGCUGAGACGCGAAAGCGUGGGGAGCGAACAGG
rnacentral:rRNA from 1 species